UUUCACUCCAUAUCGACAGAGAAUCGUUGAUAGUUCAAUAAUUUAUUCGUCUGAUUGGUUAGUGGAAAAUGUGGGGCACAGAGAAGAUCUGGAAUUUGUCGGUAUCAUCUUCAUCGCUCUCUGAUCCCAAAUACUCAUCCACGAAUAAUGGAUCUAUGGACAGCUUCAGGGAAUGUCCGGAGGAUUCUGUGUACUUCCUCGCACUCAGUACAGUCGCGUUUUUCGUGACUAAAACACAAUUUUCGAUUCGAAGCUCCCUGAUGUCAGAUGCAUAACUGAAGAAGUUUCGAAAUCCUUGAUCAGUUAUGGAGAUACAGGCACGACAGAACAGACCCUUCAGCUGUGUCAUUUCACUCAAGUGAAGAUCAGUAAAUUCUCUUGCCUGAAUUACGAAGACUUGGAGUCUUGGUAACUGCUGGAUGGACAGUAACGAGGUCGGAGUCAGCUUCAUCGAGACUGGAGGAACGAAAAAUCAUGUUAGGGAGAACAAAAGCUAACAGUGCUGAGAAAUAUUUGUGUCCUACAAAUUUGAAGGACUUCAAAUCUUAUAAAAAAUCAGGGAAGAUGGGGGUGGAGGCUCCACCAUCUCGAGAGUCCCUCAGGACUAGUAUUGAAACAGGAUCACAGCAGGAAAAUUAUUUUCAUUGUUAACAUUUAAUUGUUUUCAAGUAAAGAAACAAAAAUACUCCAUUGCCACACACAGGAUCGAUGGACAAAUUACAGGGGAUUUUUACUUCUAACGACUCAAAAUAUCGAACAUGGCGCAGUUUUUUAAAUCUCGAGGUCUUCUGAAUCUUACCGAGAUUUAAAUAUUUCAGGUUGCAGUUGUUGCUGAGGAGUGCUUCAACCCCAAAUUCCGUUGCAUGGCAUUUUAUUAACGUCAGUUCCUCUAAAUUCCUCACGUAAUCCAGCUGAUGGUCAGCGAGACUCGCCCACUGGAGUGUGAGGGCUCGUAAAUUUGAAAAUUUCGAGAGAACCUACAACUCAUUAAAAAUGAUUUUUAUCAACAAAAAAUGUAGCUCGUCUGCAGGGAAAUUCAACAUUCUGGACUCCAAGGGGAUGAAACUAAACAAUUGCGAGUGAUUGCAAUGAGUCACGACUGACGACUUUGCACGUGUCUCCCUCAAUUAAAAUCUUAUCUGUGUCUACCCAGAUGGCUCCUUACAUAAUCCCUCAAUUGUUUAUAUUUCAACACUGAUGAGAAUAUGGAACACAUUCUAAUACGAAACAGACAUUGGUCAGGCCCAAGAGUCUGAUAUUUCGUGAGGAGUGAAUUAAGAACUUCUGCAAAUAAAAAAUAAUAAUUUUAUUCAAAAAA